CGCGUAAACGGUUUCUGUGAGUUCUCAAUUUUUAUUGGCGUUUGUUUCGUUAUCUUGGUUCUCUUUUUUCUCCAUCCCAGACCUGAAUUAAUUUUGGAGACCAGACGAUAAUUAUCAGUAUUGUAUUAAGAACUUCUCAUGACCCUUGUAUCUUGGACCAGCUCUCUUAGUCUUUGGUCCGCAACAACGAAAUCACUUAUACUGUGGAUAUUUCCGUUACAUCAGCAUAUUCGACAAUCUACAUUUGAACAACAUUGAUGCAGAAAAUACUUAGAAUUUGGCUUUGAUACAGUCGAUAUUGUGCUGCAAAUUUAAGGAAAUCACAGAUGUCAAAAAUGUCUCCCAGAAUUUCGAUAGUCUGAACAGGAUGCAGACUAUUAUAGAAGAUUUGUUUCGGAGAGAAGAAUCUUCUUUUGCGCAGCUGAAAUGACAAAGGAAUAAUUAGAAGACACAAUUUCAACAAAGAAAUGAAGUACAUUAACGUCGGAGAGGUAUAUGUUUGCAAAAUUGGAAAGCCUAGAGCAAACUGUUUAGUGCGUUGUAAUUGUAACUUUAGACUUUCUCUCAAAAAUUCGGUUUCGGGACGUCGAAAAACUUCGUUAAAAAAAUGUUGUAUGAUCCGGUGCAUAAUAUAAGAAAAUUCUGCAUUCUACGUAACAUCGC